rnacentral:rRNA from 1 species
AGCAGCCGCGGUAAUUCCAGCUCCAAUAGCGUAUAUUAAAGUUGUUGCAGUUAAAAGCUCGUAGUUGAAUUUCGGGGUUAGCAAGUUGGUCGUGCCUUCGGUAUGUACUGGCUUUGCUGAUUCCUCCUUCUUGAAGAACUGUGAUGCUAUUAAUUUGGUGUUGCAGGGAAACAGGACUGUUACUUUGAAAAAUUAGAGUGUUUAAAGCAGGCUAACGCUUGAAUACAUUAGCAUGGAAUAAUGAAAUAGGACGUUUGAUCCUAUUUUGUUGGUUUCUAGGAUUGACGUAAUGAUUAAUAGGGAUAGUUGGGGGCAUUAGUAUUCAAUUGUCAGAGGUGAAAUUCUUGGAUUUAUUGAAGACUAACUACUGCGAAAGCAUUUGCCAAGGAUGUUUUCAUUAAUCAAGAACGAAAGUUAGGGGAUCGAAGACGAUCAGAUACCGUCGUAGUC